rnacentral:lncRNA from 1 species
UUUGGGAGUGUUUUUGAGCAUUCGGUUCCGGAACGAAAAAUGAAGCAAAACGGGUGCAUUUCGGCAUCCGAAUGCACUAUUGCCGGGUAGCGAAACUCGGGUGGAUUUUUUUGCAACGAACGCAUGCAAUCUUCAUAAUUAUACCCUAGAACAUGUUUGGGAGUGUUUUUGAGCAUUCGGUUCCAGAACGAAAAAUGAUGCAAUACGGGUGCAUUUCGGUACCCGAAUGCAUAUUGCCGGGUAGCGAAACUCGGGUGGAUUUUUUCGCAACGAACGCAUGCAAUCUUCAUAAUUAUACCCUAGAACAUGUUUGGGAGUGUUUUUGAGCAUUCGGUUCCGGAACGAAAAAUAAUGCAAAACGGAUGCAUUUCGGCACCCGAAUGCAUAUAGCCGGGUAGCGAAACUCGGGUGGAUUUUUUCGCAACGAACGCAUGCAAUCUUCCUAAUUAUACCCUAAAACAUGUUUGGGAGUGUUUUUGAGCAUUCGGUUCCGGAACGAAAAAUGAUGCAAAAUGGGUGUAUUUCGGCACCCGAAUGCACUAUUGCCGGGUAGCGAAACUCGGGUGGAUUUUUUCGCAACGAACGCAUGCAAUCUUCAUAAUUAUACCCUAGAACAUGUUUGGGAGUGUUUUUGAGCAUUCGGUUCCGGAACGAAAAAUGAUGCAAAACGGGUGCAUUUCGGCACCCGAAUGCACUAUUUCCGGGUAGCGAAACUCGGGUGGAUUUUUUCGCAACGAACGCAUGCAAUAUUCCUAAUUAUACCCUAGAACAUGUUUGGUGGUGUUUUUGAGCCUUCGGUUCUGACACGAAAAUCGAUGCAAAACGGGUGCAUUUCGGCACCCGAAUUCACUAUUUCUAGGUAACGAAAGACGGGUGGAUUUUUUGGCAACGGAGCGUGCAAUCUUUCUAAUUAGACCCUAGAAUAUGUUUGGGAGUGUUUCUGAGCAUUCGGUUACAGCACGAAAAACGAUGCAAAACGGGUGCAUUUCGGCACCCGAAUGCAUAUUGCCGGGGUAGCGAAACUCGGGUGGAUUUUUACGCAACGAACACAUGCAAUCUUCCUAAUUAUACCCUAAAACAUGUUUGGGAGUGUUUUUGAGCAUUCGGUUCCGGAACGAAAAAUGAUGCAAAACGGGUGCAUUUCGGCACCCGAAUGCACUAUUGCCGGGUAGCGAACCUCGGGUGGAUUUUUUCGCAACGAACGCAUGCAAUCUUCAUAAUUAUACCCUAGAACAUGUUUGGGAGUGUUUUUGAGCAUUCGGUUCCGGAACGAAAAAUGAUGCAAAACGGGUGCAUUUCGGCACCCGAAUGCACUAUUUCCGGGUAGCGAAACUCGGGUGGAUUUUUUCGCAACGAACGCAUGCAAUAUUCCUAAUUAUACCCUAGAACAUGUUUGGUAGUGUUUUUGAGCCUUCGGUUCCGGCACGAAAAUCGAUGCAAAACGGGUGCAUUUCGGCACCCGAAUGCACUAUUUCCGGGUAGCGAAACUCGGGUGGAAUUUUUCGCAACGGACGCGUGCAAUCUUUCUAAUUAGACCCUAGAACAUGUUUGGGAGUGUUUCUGAGCAUUCGGUUACAGCACGAAAAACGAUGCAAAACGGGUGCAUUUCGGCAGCCGAAUGCACUAUUUCCGGGUAGCGAAACUCGGGUUGAUUUUUUCGCAACGAACGCAUGCAAUCUUCAUAAUUAUACCCUAGAACAUGUUUGGGAGUGUUUUUGAGCAUUCGGUUCAGGAACGAAAAAUGAUGCAAAACGGGUGCAUUUCAGCACCCGAAUGCAUAUUGCCGGGUAGCGAAACUCGGGUGGAUUUUUUCGCAACGAACGCAUGCAAUCUUCCUAAUUAUACCCUAAAACAUGUUUGGGAGUGUUUUUGAGCAUUCGGUUCCGGAACGAAAAAUGAUGCAAAACGGGUGCAUUUCGGCACCCGAAUGCACUAUUGCCGGGUAGCGAAACUCGGGUGGAUUUUUUCACAACGAACGCAUGCAAUCUUUAUAAUUAUACCCUAGAACAUGUUUGGGAGUGUUUCUGACCAUUCGGUUACAGCACGAAAAACGAUGCAAAACGGGUGCAUUUCGGCAGCCGAAUGCACUAUUUCCGGGGUAGCGAAACUCGGGCUGAUUUUUUCGCAACGAACGCAUGCAAUCUUCAUAGUUAUAACCUAGAACAUGUUUGGGAGUAUUUUUUAGCAUUGGGUUAUGGCACGAAAAACGAUGCAAAACGAGUGCAUUUCGGCACCCGAAUGCACUAUUUCUGGGUAGCGAAACUCGGGUGGAUUUUUUCACAACGAACGCAUGCAAUCUUUAUAAUUAUACCCUAGAACAUGUUUGGGAGUGUUUCUGACCAUUCGGUUACAGCACGAAAAACGAUGCAAAACGGGUGCAUUUCGGCAGCCGAAUGCACUAUUUCCGGGUAGCGAAACUCGGGCUGAUUUUUUCGCAAUGAACGCAUGCAAUCUUCGUAAUUAGACCCUAGAACAUGUUUGGGAGUGUUUUUGAGCAUUCGGUCACGGCACGAAAAACGAUGCAAAACCGGUGCAUUUCAGCACCCGAAUGCACUAUUUUCGGGAAGCAAAACUCGGGUGGAUUUUUCACAACGGACGCACCCAAUCUUCCUAAUAACACCCUAGAACAUGUUUGGGAGUGUUUUCCAGCUUUCGGUUACGGCACGAAAAAGAUGCAAAAAAGGUGCAUUUCGACACCCGAAUCCAAUAUUUUCGGGUAGCGAAACUCGGGUUGAUUUUUUCACAACGGACGCACCCAAUCUACCUCAUUAGAGCCUAGAACGUGUUUGUGAGUGCUUUCCAGCUUUCGGUUAGAGCACGAAAAAUGAUGCAAAACGGGUGCAUUUCGACACCCGAAUGCACUAUUUCCGGGUAGCGAAACUCGGAUAGAUUUUUUCGCAACGGACGCACCCAAUCUACCUCAUUAGACCCUAGAACAUGUUUGGGAGUGUUUUCCAGCUUUCGGUUACGGCACGAAAAAGAUGCAAAACGGGUGAAUUUCGGCACCCAAAUGCACUAUUUUCGGGUAGCGAAACUCGGGUUGAUUUUUUCACAACGGACGCACACUAUCUACCUCAUUAGAUCCUAGAACGUGUUUGUGAGUGAUUUCCAGCAUUCGGUUACAGCACGAAAAAUGAUGCAAAACGGGUGCAUUUCGGCAACUGAAUGCACUAUUUCCGGGUAGCGAAACUCGGGUGGAUUUUUUCGCAACAGACGCACCCAAUCUACCUCACUAGACCCUAGAAUAUGUUUGGGAGUGUUUUUGAGCAUUCGGUACCGGAACGAAAAACGAUGCAAAACGGGUGCAUUUGGCCACCCGAAUGCACUAUUUCCGGGUAGCGAAACUUGGGUGGAUUUUUCACAACGGACGCAACCAAUCUUCCUAAUUAGACCCUAGAAUAUGUUCGGGAGUGUUUUUGAGCAUUCCGUUAUGAUACAAAAAACGAUGCAAAAAGGGUGCAUUUCGACACCCGAAUGCACUAUUUCCGGGUAGCGAAACUCGGGUGGAUUUUUUCGCAACGGACACACCCAAUCUACCUCAUUAAACCCUAGAACAUGUUUGGGAGUGUUUUCCAGCUUUCAGGUAUGCCACAAAAAACGAUGCAAAAUAGGUGCAUUUCGGCACUCGAAUGCACUAUUUCCGAGUAGCGAAACUCGGGUACAUUUUUUCGCAACGGACGCACCCAAUCUACCUCAUUAGACCCUGGAACAUGUUUCGUUUUCCAGCUUUCGGUUACGGCAUGAAAAACGAUGCAAAACGGUGGCAAUUCGACACCCGAAUGCACUAUUUCCGGGUAGCGAAACUCGGGUGGAUUUUUUCGCAACGAACGCAUGCAAUCUUCAUAAUUAUACCCUAGAACAUGUUUGGGAGUGUUUUUGAGCAUUCGGUUCCGGAACGAAAAAUGAUGCAAAACGGGUGCAUUUCGGCACCCGAAUGCAUAUUGCCGGGUAGCGAAACUCGGGUGGAUUUUUUC